rnacentral:rRNA from 1 species
UACGUAGGGGGCGAGCGUUGUCCGGAAUCAUUGGGCGUAAAGAGCGUGUAGGCGGUUCGGUAAGUCUGCCGUGAAAACCUGGGGCUCAACCCUGGGCGUGCGGUGGAAACUGUCGAGCUAGAGGAUGGUAGAGGGGAGUGGAAUUCCUGGUGUAGCGGUGGAAUGCGCAGAUAUCAGGAGGAACACCGGUGGCGAAGGCGGCAUCCUGGACCGAGAUUGACGCUGAGGCGCGAAAGCUAGGGGAGCAAACGGG